rnacentral:misc_RNA from 1 species
GAUGAAGAACGUAGCGAAAUGCGAUAAGUAAUGUGAAUUGCAGAAUUCAGUGAAUCAUCGAAUCUUUGAACGCACCUUGCGCCCUUUGGCUAUUCCGAAGGGCAUGCCUGUUUGAGUAUCAUGAACACCUCAACUCUCAUGGCUUGCUGUGAUGAGCUUGGAAUUUGGGGGUCUUGUUGGCUUGUGAGCCAGCUCCUCCUAAAUGAAUUAGCUUGCCGGUGUUUGGUGGCAUCACAGGUGUGAUAACUAUCUACUCUUGUGGUUUCCCAUCAGGUAACCUCCAGUGAUGGAGGUUCGCUGGGGCUCAUAAAUGUCUCUCCUCAGUGAGGACAGACUUUGACUGUUUGAUCUCAAAUCAGGUAGGACUACCCGCUGAACUUAAGCAUAUCAAUAAGCGGAGGA